rnacentral:lncRNA from 1 species
UUUGGUUUUAUUUUUGUUGUAGGCUGAGAUUGGGGUGCAAUCUGUUUAUCCUUAGAUUUGUUGUAUGACCACCCAGUCCAUCUGUCACCUUGACUUUGAAGCUGUAAUUUUAAUGUUUGGCUCUGUAAAUGUUUAAAGCAUCAUUACAAAUUUACAAAGGGAAAGAUACUGCUAACGGUGCAGCUGAAAUAAGACUGUCUCAGCUCACUUGUCUUUACUCCAAGACUUUCACUGCUGUGUGCCUGUGUUUUAAGCUGAAAUGAUAUCACAACAGUGAAGUAAUGCUGCAUUGUACUGCAGGAUCCAUUUUGGACAGCUCUAUUCUCUAGCCUGCAUUGCUUUUUCAAAAAGUCACAAUGUACAAUGGAUGUUCUCUUUAUUCACUUGUGAAAGAUUGAAUCUGAUUGGAAUUUCAAAGAAGGUCAGAGUGAACUUUUCAAGUUUUAUGUGAAUAAAAACACCCAACAGGAUCAAAACCUAUUCC